GUGGGGAAUAUUGGGCGAUGGGCGAAAGCCUGACCCAGCAACGCCGCGUGAAGGAAGAAGGUCUUCGGAUCGUAAACUUCUAUCCUUGGUGAAGAUAAUGACGGUAGCCGAGAAGGAAGCCCCGGCUAACUACGUGCCAGCAGCCGCGGUAAUACGUAGGGGGCAAGCGUUGUCCGGAAUGAUUGGGCGUAAAGGGCGCGUAGGCGGCCUGGUAAGUCUGGAGUGAAAGUCCUGCUUUUAAGGUGGGAAUUGCUUUGGAUACUGUCGGGCUUGAGUGCAGGAGAGGUAAGCGGAAUUCCCGGUGUAGCGGUGAAAUGCGUAGAGAUCGGGAGGAACACCGAUGGCGAAGGCAGCCUCCUGGGAUAACACUGACGCUCAGGCACGAAAGCGUGGGGAGCAAACAGGAUUAGAUACCCCAGUAGUCC
rnacentral:rRNA from 1 species